GACAGAGGGUGCUAGCGUUGUUCGGAAUUACUGGGCGUAAAGGGCGCGUAGGCGGCUCGUUUAGUCGGGUGUGAAAUCCCUCGGCUCAACUGAGGAACUGCCUUUGAAACUGUACGGCUUGAGGCCGGGAGGGGGUAGCGGAAUUCCCAGUGUAGCGGUGAAAUGCGUAGAUACUGGGAGGAACACCAGUGGCGAAGGCGGCUACCUGGACCGGUUCUGACGCUGAGGCGCGAAAGCGUGGGUAGCAAACAGGA
rnacentral:rRNA from 1 species